rnacentral:tRNA from 1 species
CUGGGUGUAGCGCAGUUUGGUAGCGUGCUUGAAUGGGGUUCAAGAGGUCGCAGGUUCAACUCCUGUCACCCAGACCA